rnacentral:rRNA from 1 species
GCGGACAGCCUCACCAAAGACCUCCUCGUCGAGAUCCUGUCGCGUGUGCCGUAUAGAUCGCUGUGCCGCUUCAAGUGUGUCUCCAAGCAGUGGCGCGGCAUCAUCUCCCACCCCGACAACCGCAAGGUGCUGCCACAGUACCAUCUUCAAGAACUCGCCGGCUUCCUCUACGAGCGCCAUUACCUAGUUCGCAAUUUCGCCCGUGUCUCGGCGGGAGGCCGCCCUCGUAUCCGCCCUUCCCUCCCCUUCCUGCCUGGCUGUGAUCACUUCCACCUUCUGGACAGCUGCAACGGCCUAAUCCUCUGCCGCCGCUUCGAGACCGCUGAUUCAUGGGAAUUUGAUUACGUCGUGUGCAAUCCUGCCACGGAGAAGUGGGUCGUCUUGCCCGGCUUCUUCAGCAUGUGGCACACAGCUCGCUUGGGGUUCGACCCGGUUGUCUCCUCGCACUUUCAUGUGUUUCACUUCCUGGAGCACGAAAUAGCUGGGUAUCCUGACGGUGAUGAUUACGAGAGUGAUGGACACGUCAAAGGGGUUGAGAUCUACUCGUCCGAAACCGGGGCCUGGAGUCACAAGGACAGCGGUUGGAGCUUCCCAACUAGGAUAGCGCAUGAUUCUAAAAGUGCAUUUGUCAAUGGUUGUCUGCAUUUGAUCGCCGCCGAGGAUGCGGUGGUGGCAGUGGAUGUGGAGGGAACUACUUGGAGGGUUAUUCCUAUAUAUGCCAGAUGA